rnacentral:misc_RNA from 1 species
AACGCACGAGACCUGCGGACCUGCGGAGGGAUCAUUACCGAGUGCGGGCCCUCGCGGCCCAACCUCCCACCCUUGUCUCUAUACACCUGUUGCUCUGGCGGGCCCACCGGGGCCACCUGGUCGCCGGGGGACGUCGUCUCCGGGCCCGCGCCCGCCGAAGCGCUCUGUGAACCCUGAUGAAGAUGGGCUGUCUGAGUACUAUGAAAAUUGUCAAAACUUUCAGCAACGGAUCUCUAGAUC